CGGAGUGUAGCGCAGUCUGGUAGCGCAUCUGGUUUGGGACCAGAGGGUCGGGAGUUCGAAUCUCUCCACUCCGACCA
rnacentral:tRNA from 553 species